rnacentral:lncRNA from 10 species
GCCGUGGAGCAGGGGGCAGCGCUCGUCUGGGAGGCUCGGGCCGCACAGGAGCCCACGGAGGGUGGGGGAGGCUCAGGCAUGGCGGGCUGCAGGUCCCGAGACCUGCCCCGUGGGAAGGCAGCUAAGGCACGGCGAGAAAUUGAGCACAGCAGCUGCUGGCCCAGGUGCUAAGCUCCUCAUUGCCCUGAGCCGGUGGGGCCUGUCGGCCGCUCUGAGUGCGCGGUCCGCCAAGUCCACGCCCACCCGGAACUCGCGCUGGCCCGCAAGCACCGCGCGCAGCCCCUGUUCCUGCCUGCGCCUCUCCCUCCACACCUCCCCGCAAGCUGAGGGAGCUGGCUCCGGCCUUGGCCAGACCAGAAAGGGGCUCACACAGUGCAGCGGCGGGCUGAAGGGUUCCUCAAGUGCCGCCAAAGUGGGAGCCCAGGCAGAGGAGGCGCCGAGAGCUAGCGAGGGCUUUGAGGACUGCCAGCACGCUGUCACCUCUCAGUGUCUUAAGGUACUGCCAAGCUGAGACUGUAGCAUGAGAGAUGUUGUCAUGACAUCUGAGAUUAUUUCCGGAUCACUGCUGAGCGAGUCACUCAUGUGCUAUUAUCCUUGUAGCAGCCUGUGCCAGACACUGUAGGAGUGAGAAGGACUACGCUUAUGACAACUAGGCUUUCCAAGGAAAAUAUGUUUGUGGCCCCAAAUGCUGGGGGCCGUGGAAUCUGAAGGGAAGGGCAGAAGUUGGUUAAUAUCUUUAAAGAAAUGUCACCUUGAAGGAUGUUGAGACUAUCCUCUGAGGAUCUUAUGAAGGCUUUUCAUAAGAUCAGUGAUUUUCCAUCUCGAUGGUCAAGCCACAGAAGGUUGCUUUCCUGGACUCACUUCUCUGGAUAUUACCAUUUUGUCUUCUAGGUUUGAAAAUCUUGUCAAAAAGCAGCUUCCCCUGUGGAGUUAUAGAAAAACAAUUCAUGUCUGUAUAUACCUUUAUUUACACAUUUCAAUAUUUUAUUUGCUCUGCUUGUAAAUUCUGCAAAUAUGGUAUUAUUCCCUUCUGUGUGUUCACUGGCCAUUAGAGAAAUGCAAAUCAAAACCACAAUGAGAUACCAUCUCACGCCAGUUAGAAUGGCAAUCAUUAAAAAGUCAGGAAACAACAGAUGCCGGAGAGCAUGUGGAGAAAUAGGAAUGCUUUUACACUGUUGGUGGGGAGUGUAAAUUUGUUCAACCAUUGUGGAAGACAGUGUGGCGAUUCCUCAAAGAUCUAGAACUAGAAAUACCAUUUGACCCAGCAAUCCCAUUACUGGGUAUAUAACCAAAGGAUUAUAAAUUAUUCUACUAUAAAGACACAUGCAUACAUAUGUUUAUUGUGACACUAUUCACAAUAGCAAAGACUUGGAACCAACCCAAAUGUUCAUCAAUAAUAGAUUGGAUAAAGAAAA